GCCACUGUAGCUCAGUCGGUAGAGCAACGCAUUCGUAACGCGUAGGUCAGCAGUUCGAAUCUGCUCAGUGGCUCC
rnacentral:tRNA from 1 species